rnacentral:SRP_RNA from 1 species
AACCGAGUCCUGUACGACAAAGUGCUGUGAACCUUGUCAGAUGGGGAACCAAGCAGCAAUAAGCAGAGGUCUUUGUGCGAUACAGAAAAACUCGGUUUGA